ACGCUCGACACCUACGGAAGGCAGCAGUAGGGAAUCUUCCACAAUGGGCGGCAAGCCUGAUGGAGCAACACCGCGUGAGUGAAGAAGGGUUUCGGCUUGUAAAGCUCUGUUGUUGGAGAAGAACGUGCGUGAGAGUAACUGUUCACGCAGUGACGGUAUCCAACCAGAAAGUCACGGCUAACUACGUGCCAGCAGCCGCGGUAAUCUGAGCGGGCUGGCAAGGC
rnacentral:rRNA from 1 species